GAUGAACGCUGGCGGCGUGCCUAAUACAUGCAAGUCGAGCGAACAGACGAGGAGCUUGCUCCUCUGACGUUAGCGGCGGACGGGUGAGUAACACGUGGAUAACCUACCUAUAAGACUGGGAUAACUUCGGGAAACCGGAGCUAAUACCGGAUAAUCUAUUGAACCGCAUGGUUCAAUAGUGAAAGACGGUUUUGCUGUCACUUAUAGAUGGAUCCGCGCCGCAUUAGCUAGUUGGUAAGGUAACGGCGUACCAAGGCGACGAUGCGUAGCCGACCUGAGAGGGUGAUCGGCCACACUGGAACUGAGACACGGUCCAGACUCCUACGGGAGGCAGCAGUAGGGAAUCUGCCGCAAUGGGCGAAAGCCUGACGGAGCAACGCCGCGUGAGUGAUGAAGGUCUUCGGAUCGUAAAACUCUGUUAUUAGGGAAGAACAAAUUUGUAAGUAACUAUGCACGUCGUGACGGUACCUAAUCAGAAAGCCACGGCUAACUACGUG
rnacentral:rRNA from 1 species